GAAAUAAAUGAGAUCAUCAUACAUGAAGGUGGAGACUCUGAUCUGAAGCCUCUGCUUGAGAUCCUGGAGAGUUCAGUCAGUAAAGUGAAGAAUCUGAGAUUGAAGGAAUGCAGUUUAUCAGAGACCAGCUGGACUUCUCUGUUCUCAGCUCUGAAGUCCAACCCGACCCAUCUGACAAAACUGGACCUGAGCAGAACCAACCUGGAAGAUUCUGGAGUGAAGGAGCUCUGUGGUUUUCUACAGACUGAAGGCUGCAGACUGGAGACAUUGAGAUUGAAUGGCUGCAGUUUGUCAGAGACCAGCUGGACUUCUCUGU